rnacentral:rRNA from 1 species
UACGUAGGGGGCGAGCGUUAUCCGGAAUCAUUGGGCGUAAAGGGCAUGCAGGCGGUCUGCUAAGUUCAUACUGACAAUUCUCGGCUUAACCGAGAGGGGCGUGUGAAAACUGGCAGACUUGAGGACCAGAGAGGGACAUGGAAUUCCAGGUGGAGCGGUGAAAUGCGUAGAGAUCUGGAGGAACACCAAAGGCGAAGGCAGUGUCCUGGAUGGUACCUGACGCUCAAGUGCGAAAGCCAGGGGAG